CAACGUCAACACCCGGAACUCUAUUGCAGCCAAUGAGCUCGAGUUGAAAAAGAAAAUAGCUUACAGCACGUGGUUUCACUCAGAUCCAUGCCAUCGCCAGGGAGACCUUUACCUGUGAUGUCUGCGGGAAGAGCUUGGCCACUAAACCAUCGCUGGUCAGCCAUCAACAGCUACACCAGUACCCCAACAUCAUUUUGUACCGGCAAGGAGAGGCCAGGCUGUACUGUACAGAGGCAGCAAGGUCUGUGGCAGAGGCCCGCAGCAGCACUGUUGUUGACCCUAAAUGGCUGGAUCUCAAGACAGCAGAGGCGGCUGCCAAGAGGUCGGGGGCUGAGCUGUGGAAAGGUCAGCUGGUCAUCACGUUCGGGUAGUACGCCGGUCAGACCUUCAGGUGGCUUGUGGAGAAUGAUGUCGGCUGGCUGGUGUGGCUGCUGUUCCAGUACUGCCAGCAGGGAGAGCAGAACGAGCUGCUGAAGUGGCAGAAGGAGCGACUGCUCCUUCGGCCACAAGGUGACUCCUCACCUGAAAGUGCUGUCGGACGCACCGUUCCCGGAGGCUCCUGCGCUGCCAACAUCCCUCCCUCCGCCAGACCGGCCUCAGGUCCAGUACCGGCUCAUCUAUCACGAGGCUGGAAAGAGACGUGGUGAGAAGCGGAGAUUAUUUGUUGAUGAGCCACAGCCUGUGACUCCCGCGAACCGACCCGUUCAGCCCACUGGGUUGUCGUCCUCCACCCGGCCGAAGCCUGCUGCGCUCACCCCCAUUCUGCCGAGGCCUUCUGCGCCUACCCACCUCCAGCCGAGGCCACCCGCUGCGUUGACCUACGGCCCACCCCCUGUGUCGGCAGCACCCAUACUGCAGGUCUUCCCCGCACAGCCACAGGCGCCCUCCGUCCUGUUUCGUGGGACAUCCUGCAGCCAGAGCUUUGUCCCUCCUGCACCAACAGUCAAGGCAUUCAUGCCUAACAAGUCCUCAAGGCCAUGUGGGGCUUGCCACAUGCCAAACUGUGGUGGACAGUGGAAGAGGUACAACCCUUUCAAGGACAAAGUGGCUGGAAGCA